UCUCACUGGAAGGUGUUGGAUGAU
rnacentral:siRNA from 1 species